GUACAGAGUACAGACAUGGGUUAGAUACACAGCUAGGUACAGAGUACAGACAUGGGUUAGAUACACAGCUAGGUACAGAGUACAGACAUGGGUUAGAUACACAGCUAGGUACAGAGUACAGACAUGGGUUAGAUACACAGCUAGGUACAGAGUACAGACAUGGGUUAGAUACACAGCUAGGUACAGAGUACAGACAUGGGUUAGAUACACAGCUAGGUACAGAGUACAGACAUGGGUUAGAUACACAGCUAGGUACAGAGUACAGACAUGGGUUAGAUACACAGCUAGGUACAGAGUACAGACAUGGGUUAGAUGUACAGAGUACAGACAUGGGUUAGUUUAACACCCCUGCUCUAGAACACCCUAAAACACUCUAAACCACCCUAGAACACCCUGGAACACUCCAAACCACCCUGGAUCACUCUAAACCACCCUGGAACACUCUAAACCACCCUGGAACACUCUAAACCACCCUGGAACACCCUGGAACACUCCAAACCACCCUGGAACACUCUAAACCACCCUGGAACACUCUAAACCACCCUGGAACACUCUGGAACACUCCAAACCACCCUGGAACACUCUAAACCACCCUGGAACACUCUAAACCACCCUGGAACACUCCAAACCACCCUGGAACACUCCAAACCACCCUGGAACACUCUAAACCACCCUGGAACACUCUAAACCACCCUGGAACACUCUAAACCACCCUGGAACACUCCAAACCACCCUGGAACACUCCAAACCACCCUGGAACACUCCAAACCACCCUGGAACACUCUAAACCACCCUGGAACACUCUAAACCACCCUGGAACACUCUAAACCACCCUGGAACAGUGUAAA